GAAGGGGGCKAGCGUUGUUCGGAAUUACUGGGCGUAAAGCGUGCGCAGGCGGUUUUUUAAGCCAGAGGUGAAAUCCCGGAGCUCAACUUCGGAAUGGCCUUUGAAACUGGAAAGCUAGAGAACGGUAGAGGUGAGUGGAAUUCCUAGUGUAGAGGUGAAAUUCGUAGAUAUUAGGAAGAACACCGGUGGCGAAGGCGGCUCACUGGACCGUUUCUGACGCUCAGGCACGAAAGCGUGGGGAGCAAACAGGAUUAGAUACCCUGGUAGUCCACGCCUUAAACGAUGGAUGCUAGCCGUUGUGAGGCAUGCCUCUYAGUGGCGCARCUAACGCGUGAAGCAUCCCGCCUGGGGAGUACGGCCGCAAGGUUA
rnacentral:rRNA from 1 species